GAGGAUAUAGCUCAAUUGGCAGAGUGUCUGCUUAGCAUGCACAAGGUCCAGGGUUCGAUCCCCGGUACCUCCA
rnacentral:tRNA from 1 species